AGAGAGAGAGGGAGGAAGAGGGAGGAAAGGGAGGGAGGGAAGGGGAGAAGAGCGGAGAAGGAGGUGGCAAGCUGGGGACGAAAUCCUGCUCUCGGUUAUGGCCGGCGUAAAUUUCCAUUGGCUGGGGUUGCACAAGGUGCUUGGAGAGAAGUCGGUGCAGGAUGGAGUCCCUUUUGUGUGUGUGUGUGUGUGUGUGUGUGUGUGUGUGUGUGUGGUGUGUGCGCGCACGGUGCUGGGGACCCUCCUCUCGCGGGGAAGCGGGUUUUUCCUCCAGGUUUUCCCGUGCGACGCCGGCCCGCGGCGGGCAGGGGAGGGCGGCGGCGGCGGCGCUGCCCGCGCCCGCCCUCGCCGCUGACAGUCCGGGGCUCGCUCUGGCAUCGGGCUGGCCUUGGCUCCAGCUGAUGCAGGAGUUGGGAGCGGGCCGCAGCUCGCAAAACCCCCAGCCCCGUCUCUUAAUAACAAUAAUAAUAAUAAUAAUAAUAGCAGCGUUGGUCGGAGGGAGGAGGGCGGCAGGCGAGGAGCUGCGGAGGAAUUCGGUUCCUUUUCCUUUUCCCCCUUUUCUUUUCCUUGUAUUAUCCCUUAAAAAAAAAAAAAAAAGAUGUUUUAAAAAUGCAAGCGGCUUGCCCAGCUGCACACACCCACCCUCGCCUCCCUCCCCCGGCUUGCGCACACCGCACGCUCGCACUCGCUCGCUCGCCCGCGCCCGCUCGCUCGGGUGUCAAAACCCGCCGGGCGCCCAGCCUGGUCCGGGCACUGCCCCUGCCCCUGCCCCUGCCCCUGCCCCUGCCCCUGCCCUGCCCCGGCUCCGGCCCCGGCCCCGGUCCCGGUCCCGGUCCCGGUCCCGGCCCCAGCCCGCCCGGGGGCCCGCCCGCCCCCGCCUCCCCACCGCCGGGCUUUUCCCCCCUGCUCUUGGCGCUGAAGACUGGAGCCUCCCCCGCUUCCAAAUGUUAUGGUGCAUAUUGACUCCACGGACUACCCAGACAAGUAAUGCUGUGGGGUAA
rnacentral:lncRNA from 1 species